rnacentral:lncRNA from 10 species
GCACAUCAGCAAAGCUCUCCUUCAGCCCCACGGCCCGGCGUCCUGUGGUUCCUAAACUGUCUCGAGGGAUUCCCUGCUUCUCUGCUGGGCCAUCUACAUCCUUAGGCAUGACCACGCUAAAAGAUUUUUUUAAGAUAAACUUUUCUACAAUAUAACAAUUCCUUGCAAGGAAAUGUUUCCAGCUAAAGAUCUUAGAAGAUUUUAGAAUCUUUUAGAAUCACAGUGAUGUCCCUUGGAGCUAUGGUCUGGAUGUGUGUGCCCCUCAAAAUCUGUAUGCUGAAUCCUAAUCUCCAAUGCAAUAGUACUAAGAAGGGGAAUGUUUAGGAUGUAAUUAGGUCAUAAGAUGGGAACCCUCAUGAAUGAGAUUACUGCCCUUAUAAAAGAGGCCUGAGGGAGCUCAUGUGCCCCUUCCCCAUGUGAGAAUGCAACAAUAAGGUGCCUUCUAUGAGAAAUGGGCCUCACCAGGCACUGCUGGUGCCUUGGUCUUGAAUUUCCACCCUCCAGAACUGUAGAAAUAAAUUUCUGUUGUUUAUAAGCUACCUAGUCUAUGAUAUUUUGUUAUAGCAGCCAAAAUGGACUGCUAGACACUUGGUAUGGUCCUUUUUUUCAUUCAUUGCUAGUCAGCCUAAUGGGCCCCUCAAUCUGAAAACUCAUGUUCUUAUGAUCUAAGCCAUCUUUAAAAAAUUUUUUCAGGGGGAAAUUUUCUUCUUCCCUGUAUUUUCUGUGUUCUCCCCAUCCCUCCCGCUGAAUUUCUACCAGUCAGAUAUGGAAUUACCUGAAGUGAUCCUUUAAUUUUACCUUUUAUAUUCCAACCAUUUGUCUUUUUAUUCUACUUUUUGGAAAUCCUCUAACUUUAUCUUCCAAUCUUUCCAUUAAAUAUUCAAUUUUAUAAUAUUUUAUAUUAUAUCCGAAAA